UUUCCGUAGGUGAACCUGCGGAAGGAUCAUUACCGAAGAUCGACAUGCUCUUAGGAACAGAGCAUCGUCGUGACCUUAUGUUGGUAAAUACCAACCGGCUGUGAAGCAGACACAGUCGUGAUACCAUGUGAUGGUGAACAGCAGAACUGGCUAAACAAAUGGGACCGUCGCCGACGCACACGGGCUUCAAGACCCGAUUGCAAGGCACGAGGGCGGUCCAAACGUCGGUGGCAAAGGACAACCUGAUUGAAUACUUGUUGCAACUUCGGGGUACCUGUCGUGCCCACGGCGUCGAUUGACCGUAUUUGUCGGCGUCGUGCGGUACGAUGAGCAGGCCGCGGGAAACCCCCGCAGCUUCGCGAAGGUUCAAAGAAGCGCUGGUUCGCAUCGCGCACGCCACGGUUGACCGUAUUUGCCGGAGUGUGCGGAGGCGACGAGGCGCUCGCCCCGAAGCCAUUUCUCUUGUCUUUCGUACGGUUGCUAUCGGUCGCCUGCCGGUCGAUGGAGUCCACCCUUGGCCGUCUCGGGGUGGACGACGUUGUGCCGGUACGGUGCUGCCCAGUGUGGAAAAUUAUACAACUCUAAGCGGUGGAUCACUCGGCUCGUGUGUCGAUGAAGAGCGCAGCCAGCUGCGUGAAGUAAUGUGAAUUGCAGGACACAUUGAACAUCGACAUCUUGAACGCACAUUGCGGCCUCGGGUAUUCCCGAGGCCACGCCUGUCUCAGGGUCGGUUGAAAUUAUCUAUCGUCGGUUGACCGUAUUUGCCGACGCAUUGGACCGUCGCGGAGCGCUGACCGUAAAGGCGGCUCGAUCGGUUGACCGUAUUUGCCGAUCGCGCCGCCGCGUGCUCCACGUCGUCCGAAGUACAGACGGGUCUGCGCCUAAGCCUUGCCGACCGCACGUCCUAAGUCCGCCCUUGCGGACGGGGACGGCGACUCGGGACCGUAAGAGAAGCCGUUGCCCGUUUCUCGGCGCGGUACGGUCGGCGUAGGCCGUGGCAUUGACCCACAAGAACGAUGAUGGACGUGUUCGACGGUUGACCGUAUUUGCCGUCGGCAGACGUCCUCUUCUUCUUCGACCUGAGAUCAGACGAGAUUACCCGCUGAAUUUAA
rnacentral:rRNA from 1 species